GACGUAGGAUGCAAGCGUUGUCCGGAAUUAUUGGGCGUAAAGAGUUCGUAGGCGGUGACCUAAGUCUGAUGUUAAAGACGGGAGCUUAACUCCCGCAUGGCAUUGGAAACUGGGCCACUAGAGUGUGGUAGAGGUCUCGGGAAUUCCAGGUGUAGCGGUGAAAUGCGUAGAUAUCAGGAGGAACACCUAUUGCGAAGGCAGCUCGCUGGGACGUAACUGACGCUGAGACGCGAAAGCGUGGGGAGCAAACAGG
rnacentral:rRNA from 1 species